GAUGAAGAACGUAGCGAAAUGCGAUAAGUAAUGUGAAUUGCAGAAUUCAGUGAAUCAUCGAAUCUUUGAACGCACAUUGCGCCCGCCAGUAUUCUGGCGGGCAUGCCUGUUCGAGCGUCAUUACAACCCUCAGGCCCCCGGGCCUGGCGUUGGGGAUCGGCGGAAGCCCCCUGUGGGCACACGCCGUCCCUCAAAUACAGUGGCGGUCCCGCCGCAGCUUCCAUUGCGUAGUAGCUAACACCUCGCAACUGGAGAGCGGCGCGGCCAUGCCGUAAAACACCCAACUUCUGAAUGUUGACCUCGAAUUAGGUAGGAAUACCCGCUGAACUUAAGCAUAUCAAUAAGCGGAGGA
rnacentral:misc_RNA from 1 species